rnacentral:lncRNA from 1 species
GUUCUGUGGCCUCAGUGGCCCCCAGUUUCCUCUUUUGAGCAAUAGGCAAUACAUGGGAUUAUAAUAGGAGGUAAAUGAGGCCAGGCGCAGGGAAACCUUAGCAUUGUCUGGCACUGUGAUAGAUUAAAACUGUAGCUGUAUAGUGUCAAAUUCCCCAAUCUGAAAUGCUUGAAAAUCUGAAGCAUUUGAGUGUCCACGUGAGGCCGCAAGUGGAAAAUUCCACACCUAACUUCACUUGAUAUGUGUGCAAAAUGUAGGCCCAUUUAAAAAAUAUUGCACAGGGACUUGAAAGGCUGAAGCAAUAAGACUGCCCCCAAGUUCAAGGCUAACUACGGCUACAUAUUUAGAUCCUGUCUCAAAAAAAAAAAAAAAAAAAAAAAAAAAGCCAAACAACAAAUUGGAAUGUAUCUCAUUGAUAUAGCAGCUGCUUAUAGUGCUGCAGACCUCUGAGCUUUAUCCCAAACCCCGGAAAUGAUAGGGAAUUGCCCGGAGCUGAGUGUGCUCAUGCAGUUCGGAAGUAGAGCAAAUGUGUCAGUUUAAGGGCAGUCCGGAUACUAAGCGAGACCAGCUUGGGCUACGGAAAACCAUGCCUGUCUCAAAACAAACAAAAGCCAAACUGCCUUCAGGCUGUGUCCAUAAAGUGCAUCAGAAAUUCGAGUUUAGAAGAUGUAAUGAAUGCUCGGUGGACCGGAGCGCUGGCUCGGUUCUGCAUAAAUGGGUGUGGUGGUGGCUCAUACCUAUGGGCCCAGCACUUGAAAGGGGAGUCGGGUCAGGGGUUCAAGAUCACCCUCAGCUACAGAAGCUCAAAGCCAGUCUCCUGGAAGACAUGAGACCCAGUCUCACACUAUUUAUUUACUGUACUGAUCCUGUAUUUAGACUUGAGUCCUAUUUCUCUAAGAAAUAUAUGUGUGUGUGUAUAUAUAUACACAUAUGUACAUAUAUAUGUGUGUAUGUGUGUGUACAUAUAUAUGCAAAUAUUCCAAAAUCUGAACUAUUGAUUUCUGAUCUUGGAUAAGGGAUAUUCAGCCUGUAUUGUUAUUUAACUUUAGAUUGGCAAUGUCAGGUAUGGAGAGGCUGCUGCAACCUCCUGGUGAAUCCGCUCUCCAGCAUUCCCACCUCCAGCACCGUCAGGGCUAAGGAGUAGAGAGCAGUCUGGAGCCAGGCCUAGAGUCCCUGUUUCCCUUGCUGUGUGAAGGGAAGAGACUGGCAGAGAGACAGAUCCACCGGGUUCUGCCCCCUUCAGGUCUGAAACCCAUCUGAGCUAGCUGGUCCUGGUCUGCCCUGACAGUGACAACUCCCAGCUUGUCCCUUCCUUCUUCUACCUCUGAUUCAGCAGGACAGGGGCCCUGGAGGCCUGGCCCGCAUCUGGGUCCCUCCACCCUUCUCUGUUGCUGUUAGUAACAAGGACCACACCCAUGACUGCUCCACUUUGUUCAGGGAGAGGUAAUGCAGGCUUUAGAUCUUGUUAAGCAUCAAAUCCCAUGCAUGCGGAGUAGAUGCUGUACCACCACCUACACACUCCUAGCCCCUGACGGUCCAGUCUUAAGUGGCAAAUGUUCCAGAGCUCAGAGGUGGGUAAGGGGUCAUGCACAGGAAGGAGAUACCAAGGGUCAGUCAACAAAGAACAGCUCUCUCAGAAAGGAAUGUGCGUGACCCAGGAGACCUAGGUGAAAAGCCUUAAAAAAAGGGGGGGAGGGGUGGCAGGGGCCAUCUUCUGUCCUCUCCUGUGUCUAGAAAAUGAAGCUUCCUCCUCCGUACAGUGGGCAUCCCAUGUCUCCAUAUUUCUUCCCCUGGAGGUCAAGAGUAAGGGCUUUAGCAUCAGGUCUCAGAGCCAGGGUUGUGCCCUUCACUCCCUCUUGGAGCCUGCUUCCUCAGCUGACAGAGACCAGAGACUGACCUUGCAGGGCUGUUGAUGGUUAAGUGACAGCAGGAUGGAGAUGUGUGGUCCAGCACGAGGCAGUCGACAGAACAGCAGUCACACCAUGCUGUGCUACUGCAAUGGAACCCAUGGCCUCACACAAGUUAGGAAGAUCGUGGUCACUGACCUACAGCCGAGCCCCAACAACCACAACCACUGUUACCUACGCGGAUAGGAAAUGGUCUUUGGCAAAAAUUUAAAAAUAAAAAUAGAAGGGAAGAGUGAGGAAUAAAUAUGAUCAAAGUAGGUUUUUUUUUUUGUUUUUUGUUUUUAGAUUUAUUUAUUUAUUAUAUGUAAGUACACUGUAGCUGUCUUCAGACACACCAGAAGAGGGCGUCAGAUUUCGUUACAGAUGGUUGUGAGCCACCAUGUGGUUUCUGGGAUUUGAACUCGGGACCUUUGGAAGAGCAGUCGGCGCUCUUAACCACUGAGCCAUCUCGCCAGCCCUCAAAGUAGUUUUAUAUGUACAUAAAAUUCUUUAAGAAUAAGCAUGUUAGCAUUUUAAAAAUCAACUUAUAUACAUAAAAGAUUGAUGCAGAGCAGCUCUUCCUACAGUGUGUCCUGUGGAAAACACCUUUUCUUAGAGUUGUAGAAAAACAAGAAAAGAGCGAGGCCUGGCGGGUGGGUGUUUGUCCAGUACUUGGGAGAUGGAGGCAUGAAGAUCAGGAGUUCAAAGCCAGCCUGGGG